rnacentral:tRNA from 1 species
GUGUUGCCGUCGGACGAGAUCAAACAGCGUGACAAGCAUGUAGCGCCGGGCGCGGAGCGCCUUCGGACGGGAGUUCGAUUCUCCCCGCCUCCACCA